rnacentral:lncRNA from 10 species
CCCGCCGGUCGCAGAGCUGUCAGCAAGCUCCAAACCGCGGCUGCCGCCCGGAGGGAAGCAGACGGGGAGUCGGUGGCGGCCGCCGAGUCCGCAUGCGCAGGCUGCAAAGGCCCUUUUGGGCCGGUCCCGCCGCGCUAGGUUGGCGAGUGGGACUAUUUGAUCCUUUCCAGGUUCGCCAGCGUGGUGUUACGAGAGGAAAGCGCAGCCGCAGCGUACGAAUGGGAAGGCCAAACACGGUCCCGGGGAGUCUGAGGGAAGCUGCAGGGCGCCUGGAAUUGGGGUCUCGAGUGAGCCGGUAAAAACCGCCUCCCGCUGAGCGUCCCGGAACAAAUACUGUCUGAACUGAGCCGUAAGCAAGAAACGGUCAGGAGAAGCUGGGGCGAUCUGAUGAUUAGAACAUUUCAGGGACUACCAGAGAGAAGUGCGUAAUUGCUCUAAGGCAGGUAGGUAAUUGGCCUGGAAACUUGGGAACGCCCCGCCCCCCACCCCGACUUUCAGCAAACCACCGUGCCCAGGAAAAAGAGCGAUUGUGGAAGACCCUGUGAAGAAGAGACCAGGAAGGCACUGUGGCUUAAGAGAGCAAGGCGUUCCUGAAUGCAGCCAACAUCAACUGGUAAACAAAAAACUGUGAGAACGGAUCCUGAAUCUUGCGCUUACCAGGGGAAAUUCAGGAGAGAUAUGAACCUGAGCAAGAUGAGGUUGAAGUUACUCAAUGCGGCAUUAAGCCUGUUCACGGCCACUUCCUCCGGCGUCACCAACACACACACUGUACACCAGCAGUAUUUUUACACGGGGUAUGUGUGUUAAGUACUAUCAGGUGGAUAAUUAUUACUUCACCUGUAUUUGCUGCCUUGAUACCAUUAGAGAAACUCAUGAAUUAUAAAUAGCAUAGUGAAUUUGUGAUUCCCUGAAGAUAUACUAAGGUGGACUUUUAAAAAGGCUUCUAUUCCAAAGGGAACUAAUAUGGAGGAAAUGGUUUCGAGAAAGAAAAAAGAAAAAACGGAGUCCUUGAUUAGUUGUGGGGAAGGCAACAUAAUGUAAUGUGAAGAAUAAAGGAGUCAGAUCCAGGAAACCCCAUAACUAUUAUGUAAGUUAUCUUCAUCUGUAAAGUGGUUAGGAUCCUGAUAGUCUCAAAGGUUUGUUUUGAGGUUUCAUGAAGCAGAUAAAUAUUCUUGUAAAUUGUAGAAUGUUAUACCAGUGUUACUCAUUAUUCUAACAAGAGCAGAGUAGUGAAGAGAGGCUCCUUCAGAAAUUCCUUGGGAUUUUUUUUUUUUUGGCUUCUGUUUUUUUAUAUCACAAGGUAGUGUCUCUGAAAAAUGGUAGAUGAUUUCAAUGUCCACAAAUAUGCAGGUGUAGACAUUCAAUUGAGGUACUGUACCCAAGGCAGCCAGCAAAAUGCUGAACAUAGAAAAUAACUUUGUAAACAAAAUGCAAUAUUUCUAGACAGUGAGUUAUCACCAGUGUGCUGCCUAUGACCCUGGCCUUAAGGAAAAAGUAGCAGAGCUGAAGAAGUUCUAAGGAUGGAAAUUAAAAAUUAUUAAGGAGAUAAUAGACUUCGUGUUAUAGGAAAUAAAAAUAGCAAGGGUCUUCAAUGGUGAGUGAUUUUGAGAUUAAUUACAUAACUAUGAAUUCUGUAAUAUUAGAACUAAGCUUUACAAAGCAUUCCUUAAAAAAAGAUAAUUUUACAACAAAGGUAACAUUAGACAGAAAAAAAUGUACAAAACUAAAAUUAAGUGAUUAAUGCUUGGGAAUGUUUCCUCCAAUGUUCAUCUAGUCAUGGUUUUCACGAAUCACUCUUGCCAAUAAAACCGAAAAUCAAAGUAA